rnacentral:tRNA from 1 species
GUGGGUAUAGCUCAGUGGUAGAUGCAUGCUUUGCAUGCACCAGAUCCUGGGUUCAAUCCCCAGUACCUCCA